UUUACUUCUUCUUCAUUUUUCCCGCCAAUCAGCAGUUCGAAUUUAAACCUAAUGCUGCCAUCUUUGUAAACCGCUCGAAAGCUGAGUAGUAUCGUAGCAGUUGGAAUGAGAGGACGCGUGACAUCCUUCUCCGUUUUAAAAUAUCUAGUACUGAACUAUUAAGGAAGGAAGGAAGGAACGAAGGAAGGAAAGGGAAUAAGAAUGGCGCGAAAAUGGCGGAUUUAAAACCAUUGGUGCUUUGGAUACUGUACGAGACAAUUUAAAAUGGAUUCCACGGUUAUACAGGGAACAACUAAUGUGUACAAGUUUACUGAGACUCCUGGACCUGUUCUGGUAACAUCCUAGAUGACAUUCAUGAUGACUUCCCUGCUUCUCCUGGAUGAUAGUUUUCUACUGGACUACUGCAAUCAGGUUUUCUCUG